ACAAACCAGGACCUCGGCGAGGACAGCGUGUGGUCCAGAAGGCAUCGCUGGCCUCGCUGCACUGAGCGAGAGCGCUCAGUUAACAGCCAGGAGGAGAAAUGGGACGCUUCGGGACCCACCCCCGCGCUCCCCCUCCCGCCCCCAAACUGCAGAUUUUUAAGUUGUGCAGACGUGGAACAAUUCCUCGGAGCCAGCUGCUCCAAGCUAAGGCGCCCAGUGUUCCCUGGGUUCCUACCCGCAGCAUACGCCCUGCCAGCUGCCCCCAAGCCAGCACCCGCUGACCACUCACCUCAGGCAAGCACCUAGGAAGACGAUGCAGAUUCAAGCUCCAGACCUUGAGCCAAGCGCUGGGGAGGGAAUGGGGGCAAAGAGAUGGUGGAAAACACUUUCCUGAACUUACUGAAUACCCUAUGUUAUGUGUGGGUUUUCUAAUUGUUCUUUGCUUAAUGAAAAACCCACGUUGGAAAUCAGAAAAAGGCAGUAAUCCUCACCGUAUCUUGUGGGCUUCAAAGAGGAGGUUUUCCCCUUAAAGGGAGUUUUGGUCCAGAGGAGAGGCUAACAGCAGGCAGGAAGGGCAGAGGAAAAGAUAAAGCCUAGGGUGGUCUUCCCCCUGAGGCCUGGAGCCCACCAAGCUCCAACAGUUUCAUUUGGCUUCUGGGAAGCAAAGUACAGAUGCAUGUGUCUGCAGAGCACUGUUCUGAGCCAUUUGUCCCUAAUUCCAUGGUUCUUUGGUUCCUCCAAUCUUGUCUCCUCUCCUGUGGAAGAGGAUCCAAAGCAUUGGUCCACACUGCUAUUUACAAGUGGCUGAAGAAGACAAUAAGCUCCUUGAAGACUGAAUUUCCAGGAACUUCUGUUGGAUCUGCAUGUUUGUGAAGUGAAUUACUGAAGGCUGCCCAGUUUCAUCUGAUCCUAGUCAAAACCUAAAUCCCUUAUUUCUACGCUACCUUUUGCCAGGUAAAAAUAAAACAUGUAAACCA
rnacentral:lncRNA from 10 species